CAGUAGCCGCGGGAAUACGAAGGGUGCAAGCGUUAAUCGGAAUUACUGGGCGUAAAGCGUGCGUAGGCGGUGAGUUAAGUCUGCUGUGAAAUCCCCGGGCUCAACCUGGGAAUGGCAGUGGAUACUGGCUCGCUAGAGUGUGUCAGAGGAUGGUGGAAUUCCCGGUGUAGCGGUGAAAUGCGUAGAGAUCGGGAGGAACACCAGUGGCGAAGGCGGCCAUCUGGGACAACACUGACGCUGAGGCACGAAAGCGUGGGGAGCAAACAGGAUUAGAUACCCGGGUAGUCCCUGUCUCUUAUCC
rnacentral:rRNA from 1 species